rnacentral:misc_RNA from 1 species
GUGGGCUUAACAGUAGUUUUCUGGAAUAUUAUCUUUAUCUUCGCAGAUCCUACAAGCUCAAAUUUAUGGGCCAAUAUGGCGGUCGCCUCCAGCGGGGGAAGCGGCCAUGGAGUAUCAAACUGGAGUUCCGCAAUAUUAUCAAAAUCUCUACUGAGAACAUCGAUCCGUUGAAAGACCUGUCCCAGAGUAAUUGGAAGUAGCCUUCCGGUUGGAGGCCCCGGGCGGCUUCCACCGAGUGUUCGAGAAGAGAAAGCGCUGCUGUAAAUCAAUUUCCAUCGUCCUUGGAGUUUAUCCAAAUCGAUAUAAAGAUCGACAAGCCCCCCUGCAUCCUCAAGUUCCUUGGCUGCAGAUUCUGCAUUUCUAAGAUCAUCUUCUUUCGCUGCAAGGCCUCUAUUUAAUCCCGAAACGGCACUCAGCAGUUUAAUCUUCAGCAAAGCGACAUCCUCU